GCUGGCGGAAUGCUUUACACAUGCAAGUCGAGCGGCAGCGCGGGGCAACCUGGCGGCGAGCGGCGAACGGGUGAGUAAUGCAUCGGAACGUGUCCAUGUCGUGGGGGAUAGCCCGGCGAAAGCCGGAUUAAUACCGCAUACGCCCGAGAGGGGAAAGUGGGGGACCGCAAGGCCUCACGCGAUUGGAUCGGCCGAUGUCCGAUUAGCUAGUUGGCGGGGUAAAGGCCCACCAAGGCGAUGAUCGGUAGCUGGUCUGAGAGGAUGAUCAGCCACACUGGGACUGAGACACGGCCCAGACUCCUACGGGAGGCAGCAGUGGGGAAUUUUGGACAAUGGGGGCAACCCUGAUCCAGCCAUUCCGCGUGAGUGAAGAAGGCCUUCGGGUUGUAAAGCUCUUUUGUCCGGAACGAAACGGGUAGCGUGAAUAUCGCUGCC
rnacentral:rRNA from 1 species